rnacentral:rRNA from 1 species
UACGUAGGGAGCAAGCGUUGUCCGGAAUCAUUGGGCGUAAAGCGCGCGUAGGUGGCCUCAUAAGUCCGCUGUGAAAGUCAAAGGCUCAACCUUUGAAAGCCGGUGGAUACUGUGAGGCUAGAGUACGGAAGAGGCGAGUGGAAUUCCUGGUGUAGCGGUGAAAUGCGUAGAUAUGCGGAGGAACACCGAUGGCGAAGGCGGCCAUCUGGACGGCGAUUGACGCUGAGACGCGAAAGCGUGGGUAGCAAACAGG